UCUUACAAUGGCUUUGUGUAGUGUGUGUCUUUGCUUUGUUUCUUCUGUGUACUAUAAAGAGAUUGCGUGCAUAAAAAGAAAAGCUUGUCGUAGGCCAGCAAAGAAACCGAGUUUAGAGUCAGACACACAAACGUGUUUCUCUACCUUUCCAAGGACUUCGCUUUGAGUUGCAUUCAUUUCUGCAGGCUAACCGCGACGCUAACCACAAAACUAACCACUGCCAAGACAGACCCAACAUUAAACCUGACCUCAAAAUGACACUGCUCAUGGAAACCAGGGUUUGGGCCCCAAAACAUGGAGACACAGAAGAGAUUGGAGGUGGUGGGUGGAUUCAUGCCAUGUUGCCACAUCAGUCUCCUCCAGCGGAUGGGCCAGGAGAACAUCUGAGAGCAUUCAGUGCAAAGUGUUGGAGAGCAGCCUGGAAACCCGGGCAGGAAAGUCUGAGGGCUUGGACAGCAGAUUGGAGUCUUCACCUGUGA